rnacentral:lncRNA from 1 species
GUGUAGAUUACGUUAGUUAGCUUUUGUGAGAUUAUGUAUUAAUUUAUUAAUGGUUGAAUAUUCUGUCUUUUGGCUGGCUUGAGUAUUCAAUGCGUUAAGGUCUUUUACAGCCUCUGUCUUAAUAUAUAUAAUUCAACUUUAUCUUCGCUAUUUAUGAUUUCUGCCGCAUUUCGUUAUUCUAUUUAUAUUUUGGAACGCCAAUAGUUUAGAAGUUUUCUUCUUGCUUCGUAUUUUUUAUUAAUUGGGAGAUUUCUUUUGGC